rnacentral:tRNA from 2 species
CGGGGUAUGGCGCAGUCCGGCUAGCGCGCUUGCAUGGGGUGUAAGAGGUCCCCGGUUCGAAUCCGGGUACCCCGACCA